rnacentral:sRNA from 1 species
UUUAAAGAAGAGUAUUGAAUUUUAUUUUUAAUGUUACAUAAGGUGGUAAAAUACUGGUGCUAUGAUCCGAAAGGUGACAGUACUCUGCAAAUCUCAGUUUCUACUAGUUGUUUACAUUUUCGUAUUUUGCAAUAUUGAAUGUUAAAUGUUGAGGGGAAAGAGAAGAUCCAAAUACAUGAAUAUAGUCUGUAUUUGAAUGGUUGAGAAAUGGACAAAUAUUAUCAUAUUUGCAAGUUUCUUAAGAACUUGUGGCAUUGGCUCUUUUUUUCCAGUUACAGUUUCUUCUAACAAGUCUACCAAUCAUGAAAGGAAAUCGACACUGACCCCUACCCAGAGGGAAAGUAUCCCAGCGAAGUCUCCAGUGCCUGGGGUGGACCCUGUCGUGAGCCACAGUCCGUUUGAUCCCCAUCACAGAGGCAACACUGCAGGAGAGGUUUAUCGGAGCCACCUGCCCACGCACUUGGAUCCAGCCAUGCCUUUUCACAGGGCUUUGGAUCCUGCGGCUGCUUACCUAUUUCAGAGACAGCUUUCACCAACUCCAGGUUACCCAAGUCAGUAUCAGCUUUACGCAAUGGAGAACACAAGACAGACAAUCUUAAAUGAUUACAUUACCUCACAACAGAUGCAAGUGAACUUGCGUCCAGAUGUGGCCAGAGGACUCUCCCCAAGAGAGCAGCCACUGGGUCUCCCAUACCCAGCAACGAGAGGAAUCAUUGACCUGACCAAUAUGCCUCCAACAAUUUUAGUGCCUCAUCCAGGGGGAACAAGCACUCCUCCCAUGGACAGAAUCACUUAUAUUCCUGGUACACAGAUUACUUUCCCUCCCAGGCCAUACAACUCUGCUUCCAUGUCUCCAGGACACCCAACACACCUUGCAGCUGCUGCAAGUGCUGAGAGGGAACGGGAACGGGAGCGGGAGCGGGAGAAGGAGCGGGAGCGGGAACGGAUUGCUGCAGCUUCCUCCGACCUCUACUUGCGGCCAGGCUCAGAACAGCCUGGCCGACCUGGCAGUCAUGGAUAUGUUCGCUCCCCUUCCCCUUCAGUAAGAACUCAGGAGACCAUGUUGCAACAGAGACCCAGUGUUUUCCAAGGAACCAAUGGAACCAGUGUAAUCACACCUUUGGAUCCAACUGCUCAGCUACGAAUCAUGCCACUGCCUGCUGGGGGCCCUUCAAUAAGCCAAGGCCUGCCAGCCUCCCGUUACAACACUGCUGCGGAUGCCCUGGCUGCUCUUGUGGAUGCUGCAGCUUCUGCACCCCAGAUGGAUGUGUCCAAAACAAAAGAGAGUAAGCAUGAAGCUGCCAGGUUAGAAGAAAAUUUGAGAAGCAGGUCAGCAGCAGUUAGUGAACAGCAGCAGCUAGAGCAGAAAACCCUGGAGGUGGAGAAGAGAUCUGUUCAGUGUUUAUACACUUCUUCAGCCUUUCCAAGUGGCAAGCCCCAGCCUCAUUCUUCAGUAGUUUAUUCUGAGGCUGGGAAAGAUAAAGGGCCUCCUCCAAAAUCCAGAUAUGAGGAAGAGCUAAGGACCCGAGGGAAGACUACCAUUACUGCAGCUAACUUCAUAGACGUGAUCAUCACCCGGCAAAUUGCCUCGGACAAGGAUGCGAGGGAACGUGGCUCUCAAAGUUCAGACUCUUCUAGUAGCUUAUCUUCUCACAGGUAUGAAACACCUAGUGAUGCUAUUGAGGUGAUAAGUCCUGCCAGCUCACCUGCGCCACCCCAGGAAAAACUGCAGACCUAUCAGCCAGAGGUUGUUAAGGCAAAUCAAGCCGAAAAUGAUCCUACCAGACAAUAUGAAGGACCAUUACAUCACUAUCGACCACAGCAGGAAUCACCAUCUCCCCAACAACAGCUGCCCCCUUCUUCACAGGCAGAGGGAAUGGGGCAAGUGCCCAGGACCCAUCGGCUGAUCACACUUGCUGAUCACAUCUGUCAAAUUAUCACACAAGAUUUUGCUAGAAAUCAAGUUUCCUCGCAGACUCCCCAGCAGCCUCCUACUUCUACAUUCCAGAACUCACCAUCUGCUUUGGUGUCUACACCUGUGAGGACUAAAACAUCAAACCGUUACAGCCCAGAAUCCCAGGCUCAGUCUGUCCAUCAUCAAAGACCAGGUUCAAGGGUCUCUCCAGAAAAUCUUGUGGACAAAUCCAGGGGAAGUAGGCCUGGAAAAUCCCCAGAGAGGAGUCACGUCUCUUCGGAGCCCUACGAGCCCAUCUCCCCACCCCAGGUUCCGGUUGUGCAUGAGAAACAGGACAGCUUGCUGCUCUUGUCUCAGAGGGGCGCAGAGCCUGCAGAGCAGAGGAAUGAUGCCCGCUCACCAGGGAGUAUAAGCUACUUGCCUUCAUUCUUCACCAAGCUUGAAAAUACAUCACCCAUGGUUAAAUCAAAGAAGCAGGAGAUUUUUCGUAAGUUGAACUCCUCUGGUGGAGGUGACUCUGAUAUGGCAGCUGCUCAGCCAGGAACUGAGAUCUUUAAUCUGCCAGCAGUUACUACAUCAGGCUCAGUUAGCUCUAGAGGCCAUUCUUUUGCUGAUCCUGCCAGUAAUCUUGGGCUGGAAGACAUUAUCAGGAAGGCUCUCAUGGGAAGCUUUGAUGACAAAGUUGAGGAUCAUGGAGUUGUCAUGUCCCAGCCUAUGGGAGUAGUGCCUAGUACUGCCAACACCUCAGUUGUGACCAGUGGUGAGACACGGAGAGAGGAAGGGGACCCAUCACCUCAUUCAGGAGUUUGCAAACCAAAGCUGAUCAGCAAGUCAAACAGCAGGAAAUCUAAAUCUCCUAUCCCUGGGCAAGGCUACUUAGGAACCGAACGGCCCUCUUCAGUCUCCUCUGUACAUUCAGAAGGGGAUUACCAUAGGCAGACGCCAGGGUGGGCCUGGGAAGACAGGCCCUCUUCAACAGGCUCAACUCAGUUUCCUUAUAACCCUCUGACUAUGCGGAUGCUCAGCAGUACUCCACCAACACCGAUUGCAUGUGCUCCCUCUGCUGUGAACCAAGCAGCUCCUCACCAACAGAACAGGAUCUGGGAGCGAGAGCCUGCCCCACUGCUCUCAGCACAGUACGAGACCCUGUCGGAUAGUGAUGACUGAACUGCACAAAGUGAGGGGAACAGGGUGCAGGAGAGGGAUCUCUAGUUUUUGUGGUUUAAUUUUUAGUAGCAGGUCAAAAACCUGCCCUCCUAUGACUUAUUCCCUGAGACUUUUCAGGAGAGCCAGCUCACAGAUGAUGAAGAAAUGAUGGAAAUUCAUUUGGAGAGUCAAAUGGGAAAAAAACAAACAAAAAACUGCCUUUGAUACAGGCAAUUCAGUGGACUAUAAUAAUAGUGGAGGGUUGAGAUGUAGAGUUUUUAAAAAGUGGACAGUUGCUGUUCUUACAUCUGUUUGUAAAGAAAACCAUAAUGUCUUUAAAUCACUCUUCUGUAAAUAGAUGACCUUUUUGCAGUGUAUAUCCCCUUGCUGUAGUAUCUGGUGUACUUAUGUUCAAAUCAGCGCAUCAAAUUUGGGGGUGAUUUUUAAAAAUCUUUUUGUCUUUUUAACCCUAGCCUUCUAAACAACCUCAUACAGCCCAGUUACAUAAUGUUGGCUGUCACGGGCAUUGUACUUUUAUCUGAUUUUGUUUCCUCUAAAUUCAGCUUUCCAGUGAUGUUUAAAAUCUUGUGAAAAUGUUUAGAUUUUUAACACAGACCCUGUCAUAAAAUCUGUACAUUAGGGUCAAAAGGUAAAAGUAACAAAUUCUGCCAUAUUGUAAAUUUCCAGUGCAGGCUUUAAUUUUUUUUUUUUCCAUUAGUAGCACUGAAAAAAUAUUACUGCAUGGGUAUGUUCUAGUUCAGUUUAUAAAGUUUUAAAGGCUUAUUUGAGGCAUACCUCACUGUUAUGCACACUGGUAAUUUAACCAUGCCCCUAAGUAUUCCUUUUCUCCUGCAUUUGAUGCAGCCCAACAAAGCUUUUGUUUUGAAAUAAAUUUGACUACCCUGUCCAUA